rnacentral:rRNA from 1 species
UACGUAGGUGGCAAGCGUUGUCCGGAAUUACUGGGCGUAAAGCGUGCGCAGGCGGUCUGUUAAGACCGAUGUGAAAUCCCCGGGCUUAACCUGGGAACUGCAUUGGUGACUGGCAGGCUUUGAGUGUGGCAGAGGGAGGUAGAAUUCCACGUGUAGCAGUGAAAUGCGUAGAGAUGUGGAGGAAUACCGAUGGCGAAGGCAGCCUCCUGGGCCAACACUGACGCUCAUGCACGAAAGCGUGGGUAGCAAACAGG